rnacentral:rRNA from 1 species
UACGGAGGGAGCUAGCGUUGUUCGGAAUUACUGGGCGUAAAGGGCGUGUAGGCGGGAAGGUAAGUCGGGCGUGAAAUCCCUGAGCUCAACUCAGGAACUGCACUCGAAACUACUUUUCUUGAGUGCCGGAGAGGAAAGCGGAAUUCCUGGUGUAGAGGUGAAAUUCGUAGAUAUCAGGAGGAACACCAGUGGCGAAGGCGGCUUUCUGGACGGUAACUGACGCUGAGACGCGAAAGCGUGGGGAGCAAACAGG